ACCACCCAAACCACCAGCCUGAACCAGAUGUGAGGUGGCGUCUCUCAUGUUGGAGGAAAUAACCACCUGACAAAAUCCUUUAACCUUCUCUGCCUCCAUGAGCUUUCUUAAAGACUGAGGAAUCAGAUAAGAGAAAUAAAUCUGCUGGCUCUGAGCAUAGUUUUCGAGGUAUGUGCCCUCCAGCGCCGUCCCCACGAUGGUCAAACCCUUCCCUGCCUUCAGCUGACUGGUCAGAGAGAGCAGACGAGGCUGUUCAACAUUCAGCUCGGCGUCCAUACUGACCAGGACCAAUAUUUGAGGCCUGUAAAGAGAGAUGUGAAAAACAACAACAAUCAUGAAGAUAUGGAUUACACGUCACACCCACCUCCAGUUUUUGGUGUGUGGAGGUCCUUCUUCUAACCUCAUGAGGGCGAAUCGGGCGGCACUGAGUGAUAAACCUCUUAUUCCAUCUCCCCAUUCCUUUUCAGCCCUAUAUCAACACAAACAAACACAUUAACACAAACUGCGUUCACACACAUUUUGGCUCGGACAGGAUGCACUAACAUGCAAUUCAUUCUACUUGUUUAUGCACAUCAGUCUAUACUAUGUUUUCUAUUUUAGAUAUGCAUGCACUAUGGAUGUGAUAAAAAGGACAAGUUUUUGGGAGACAACAUACAUGACCCUCUACUCUACAAUUAACAUUAAUUAUUUAUUUUGUUUAAAUUUUCAUGUGCGCAUUUAUGAUGAAGAAACAGCGUUAUGAAUGUGACAUUUCUGAAUGCUGCACCUUCCUGGAAUAUAUAUAUAAAAAAUGCUUGAAAACUUAAACAGAAACCUUGCACUGAUAUUUAACUCAUUCCGCGCCAUUAACGAGUUAUCUCGUCAAUUAAGAGAAAACAUUUGCAUGAAAAAAAAACGUAUUUCUAAUGAGUUUUUAUGGUAAUCUGAAAUACCCCAAUUAUCCACUAGAUGCCGCUCUUUCCCAAUUUAUAAAAAACUGAAGCAAAAAAGUUAUUUAUUCAUUUUAAACUCCGUGUAUGUUUUGAUAAUCGUUCUGAAUUUGAUCUCUAACAAAAUUCCUUUACAAAAAUGCAAUUAUUUCAGGUUUUUGCUCAAAAAAAUAUUUUUGAAGAAACCUAUUUAAGAGUUUAUAAGCAGACAAAAAAAUAUAGAUAGGAUGAAAGUUUUCCCCGUUUUGUUUGUUUGUUUAUUGUUUAUUUAAAAGCAGAGGGUCUGUUCUUUCAUUGGAUAUAUUUGUAUGUUUCUAUAUUUUUAGAAGAAAAUUUUCAUGGAAGACAUUUUGUGAAACUUUUGUGAAAAUCACAAAAAAAUGUUGGCAGGCAACUUUUCACAAAAACGAAACAAAAAAGGCCGGCGGGGAAUGAGUUUUGAGAUUUAGCCACUAAAUCUAGAAAUAAUUCCUUCUUUGAAUGUGUUUAAAAAUAUUUUGCAAUGUAAAAUGAGUGAAGUAUUUUUGUCUUGCUUGUUUAGAAUUUGUUUUGUGUAUAAAGUGUUUAUGUGAAACUUUAAUGAGGCCAUCUUGGCCUCCCUGGAAGAAGGGAUUUCUUUAAUCUCAAUGGGACCUACCUGGAAAAAUAAAGGUUAAAUAAAUAAAAUAAAUAAAUAUUGACAUCCGAGAUAUCAGUAUGGUUAUU